AAUCAUUCACGACUUGUUUCACACGGAUUAUGCCUAAAUAGUAAUCACUGUGAGAAAGAAAAGUAGGUGAUGAACCUGCAACCCCCCUUAAGCAUACAAAUGAGUUUGCAUUAGCAACAAAAUAGUCUAUUACAAAUAAAAAUUAUCAAAUUCAAUCUCAAACAGUGCACUCUACAGUUCUAACAAAAACUAAGAAUUGAAAAACUGCCAAGUGAGUAUACUGUUUCGAA
rnacentral:lncRNA from 1 species